GUCACCUCACAGAGGAUCUUCCCACAGACGCUCCUCUUCUCGUUCUAAUUCAAAGUCUUCUAAUUCGAAAUCUUCUCGCUCCUACUCUCGCUCUUCAAGCAGGUCCAGAUCUCGGUCCAGGUCCAGGUCCCAAGGCAGAUCAAGGUCAUUUUUCUUUGUAUUUAUUCUAUUUUCUUUCUUUUUUUUUACCAUAACAUUAUUCAUACAAAGUACAACAUUGACACUGUUGCCCCUCUCUUUCAUAGACGAUGGGAAAUGAAAUGAGGCGACUGAAACUAAAUGCUGCCUUAAGUGUGCGAUAUAUGACACAAAUGUUUUCUUCUUUCUUUCUUUUUUCCAGACCCCACUCAUCUUACUCCCACCACAGGGACCCCCCCACCCGCUCUAAUUCCUCCCACUCCUAUAGUUAUGGUUACAAACGUUCUCCUACACCGUCCUCGUCUUCUUCACCUCGAGUGGCUUACCAUUCCAGGUCCAAGUCCCCGUCAGAUCACCGCAAAAACAGCCAUCACAGUCGGCACCACAAUAAGAAAUCGUCUUCGAGCAGCCACGACUCCAGGAGGCGAGGUGAACAUCACGGCUCAGGGGGAAGUUUAGCUAGUAACAUGUAUGCUCAGCAUGCAAAUCAAAGUAGCAGCCUGGACCUGGACAGAGAGCGCUACCUGCAGUGGAAAGGCGAGUACAAAGAGUGGUGUGAUAAAUAUUUCAGCAGCUAUGUCGGCCAUUUCCACCAGAUGCCUCUUCCCCUCCUCAAUCUUCUUCGUCCUCCUCAGUGGGGGAACAGAGAAGAAAGCGGACAUCCCUUACACGCUAACUCGGACUCUCACAACCAACUCCAAGGUAGACGCACCGCCCGACUGGACGGACGCUCCCCUCCAUCGCAGUCAUCCAGUGACAGCCGCUCCCCUCCGUCUCAGUCUUCACGUUACAGACGCUCCACGCCCUCUCAGUCAUCCAGUGACAGCCACUCCUCUCCGUCUCAUUCUUCCAGCGACAGCCGGUCCCCUCCCUCUCAGUCGUCCAGCGACGGGCGCUCAACACCAUCCGAAGACGGAGCUCAGCCGAGGGCAAGUCAGCAGAGUCGCACUGAGAAGUACAGCCGCCUGCCAAUCGCAUUUCCAAAGGGCAGUGAGGAAGUGGAUCUGCAAGAAGGAUGCAAAGACAAGCUAAUCACCAAGAAUUUGGAGAACCGCAGCAGCUUAAAACAUGAGCAAAAGAGCAUGAAGAAAUAUGAGAAAGAUAGAAAAGAGGAGUCAGACUCGACAGAGGACUGCAGAAAGGAGAAGAGGAGGCACAACCCUGGAACAAAGGCCUGCAAGGGUGGCAGCCCAGCACGGGACGAAGCAACUGCCAGUGAUGCCUUAGAAUCUGCCCGACCUCUCCUGAAACCAGAUAAACGUUUGGAUAAAGACUAUGAAAGAAAACGCAGAGAACAAAAUAAUUCAGAAAUGGAGAAAGGAUGUAGAAGAGGCGAACAUUCAGACUCCAGGAAGGAUGUGGGGAGACGGCACCGAGAAAAGCCCAAGAAAGAGGCAGGCAGAGUGGACACGGACAGAUACAGAGACCCUGGAGGAAGCAGAGCUUCUGACUCCAGAUCAGAGAAGAAUAGAAAAAGAAAACGAGAGGACACGGAGAGAGGUUUUGUGAAGGCUCAAAGCAGCAAAUGCCUUAAGGACCCCGAAACCCCCAAGAGUGAAUCCCCAAAUCCAUUUGACAGAAAGAAGCCAAAGAUGGAGAAGAAAAUGGACAGGAAACCCUGGCCUUUGACAGAGAGAGACAUCUGGGAGGGAGGGAUAAAGGUAAAACCACAGAAGAAGAUAAGCAUCAACAUAAACCUGGAAGGGAAAAUGAAGGAUGAGAGCGUUACAGGAAAAACUCAAUCAGAAAUUGAUGCUGGUAAUAGAACAGAAAUAGAAGCAAAUGAAAAGAAGGAAUCCAGCAGAGACAUGGAAGGUGUGUCUGGAGAACAAAUAAAACCAGAAGGAGAGGCAAGACAGAAAUGGGAGAAAGCUACCUUCAGGGAUGAUGCAGGAGAGGAAAAAGACAUUGGAGAGAAGAAAGACGUCAGAGAAAAGGAGGACUUUGACGUAUGGCAUAGUCCCCGCAGAGAAGUGGAGGAGGAGAGUAAAAAACAGUGGGAUGAAAGAGACGGGAUGGCGGCCAGCAAAGGAGAAGAGGUGACAAAUGACAGGAGGAGGAGCGUGAGGAGAGGAAAGGAAGGACAAGCGACCGGAGAGUUGGUCGCAGAAACCCGGGAGGAGAGGGCAGAGGGAGAAAGCCCAUUCAAGGUAAACAGAGGAAACUUGCCGGGGGAGUCAAAACCAGAGGAGGCGCCGAUGGAGGGAGGGAAGUGGAGGGAAGAAGGAGACACUAUGAGGUCCAAGUCCCAGAAGGGCAGAAACAAGGGCCGCCAUGACGGACCGAAAACUGCGUUGGACGGUGGCAGCUAUGAGGAUCUUCAGGAGAAGAAGACGGAGGUGACAACACUGGAGGAAUACACCCAGGACAGAGCUGCAGACCAAGAGGACAAGCUCGUAGUCACACAGGUCCCUCGCUCCAAAUGGGAAAAGGAAAAAUCUGAGGAAGGAGCAAUCGAAGUUCAAGCGGAUGCUCUUGCAACAUUUCUGCCUUCACCGUCCAUGUCUGUGACCGCUGAGACAGCAACCACCAUUGAAACAGAUCAUGGGGGAAAGAGAGAGAGGGCAGUGGAAAUAGAGAGAGGAAGGUACAGGGAGAGAGAGAAAACUCCCAUUUUGUCCACUUCACAGAGUAGUGUGGCUCCCUCUAGUGGCAGAGACCGAACUGACAGAGACGGGGAGAAGAGGAUGGAUAGACGGAGGGACAGGGAGAGGGAGAGGGAGAGAUCGAGGAAUAGGCCUAAAGAGAGCAAACGAUCGAAAGAGAGAACAAGGGAGGGAGAGACAGGGAGGGAGCAAGGCAGGUUUGCCUCGGCCCCGAAGAGGAAUCCCCCUUCCUCCUCUCACUCCUACUCCUACUCUUAUUCAAUGUCACAUGACACAGAGAGGAAAGACAGGCAGCGAGAGGGCGACCCAGUCGGGAAAUUCUCCGGUGGCAGCAGCAGGGAAAACGGCGUGAUAAGCAGAGCUACCAAACUGCCUGAUGAAAAGGUCCAUAAGACGUAUAGAGACACGUUACUGGGCUCAAACUUUAAAGACAAAGACCAUACCCACAAUGACCAAGAAGAGGGAGGGAGAGAGCUGGAGGAAGGGGAGAGGCGCAGCAGCCGCAGCAACAGCACCAGUUCGUCAGCUAGCAGGGAGAACGGCAGGGGCGACGGGAGAAAAGAGAAGAAACAAAAGAAGCACAAACAGGAGAAGAGGCAAGCCGCCCCGGAGCUGCUGAAGAAACAGAAACUCGAGAAGAAGACGUCAAAGAAGAGCAGAGAUGGGAGAGGAGAGGAGAGUAGUGGAGAGGAGGAUGACGCCAAGCUCUGCUCAGUUAUGUUGUCUUGACUGUCGUAGAAGAAACAUUUUACCUACUUGAAUGAUGUUUUUCCUUUCUGUCCAAAAAGUGCCUGGAUACUUUUUUUUUUCAACUUUGUUUUCCCAGGAUACUUUUUGUAUCGCCUUAAGAUAUCUCCUAUCAAAUAUGCAUCAUCCAAAAUGAAAGUGAACAACUUGUGAAGGAAAAGCACUUUAUACUACAUAUAAGAAAAAUUAAUGUGAAUGAAAGCAAAUGUUAAACCUUGGACAUCUUGAAUUAUUUAAAGUUCAAGGAAUUUGCACAUGCUCAGGACUGCCACCAACUAUGGUUUGAAUACUUAACCUGCAAUGUUACAGCUUGAUUGGAGGAAAUCUUACAUUUUGACGACACGUCAAUCAGUAAUUUGAUUUGCCUCACACAGAAGCACAGGAGUGCUUAUAGAGGAUUAUUGAGAAGAGUUUGUGAUUAAGUUUGAAACGUACUGUGAAUAUUUAUGAUUUCAACCUCUGUGUUGUAUUUUAUUUUUCCUUUUGUAAAUGUUUAAUUUAAAAUCAACUGCUGGAUGGAUAAAUAAUUUAACAGAGGAUAUUUGAGUUUUUCCUGUUUUGAAGGAAAUAAAAAGAUACAUCCAUAAAAUGUUUUGUUUUUUUCUGCUGCUGCACACGACAACAAUUCUUUGAGAGCAACAGUGUUUUUAGUCAUGAUAUAGUGAUAUGGCUCUAAUUAGCAAAUGUUUGAAUGUUAAAACCCUAAACUAAGAUUCAUUCCUGUGACAUUACGUGGGGGGGGGGGGGUCUGCAUCAAACAGGAAGUUGACUUUAUUAUAAGGUUAUAACAUUUGGAUGACUAAUAUAUUGUAGAUAUUAAUGAUGUAAUACUAAAUGUAUGCUGUAAUGUACCAAAAUUAUAUAUGUUUUAAUUAGGAUAUUUUCAUGCUUCAUGUAAAUUGGGACAAUGUUAAAAGGCUUUUUUAAAUAAAGUGAUAAAAUAAACUCAAAUCUAUGUCCACAG
rnacentral:lncRNA from 1 species